CCUACGGGAGGCAGCAGUGGGGAAUAUUGGACAAUGGGCGAAAGCCUGAUCCAGCAACGCCGCGUGAGGGAUGACGGCCUUCGGGUUGUAAACCUCUUUCAGCUCCGACGAAGCGAAAGUGACGGUAGGAGCAGAAGAAGCACCGGCCAACUACGUGCCAGCAGCCGCGGUAAUACGUAGGGUGCGAGCGUUGUCCGGAAUUAUUGGGCGUAAAGGGCUCGUAGGCGGUUUGUCACGUCGGGAGUGAAAACUCGGGGCUUAACCCCGAGCCUGCUUCCGAUACGGGCUGACUAGAGGUAUGCAGGGGAGAACGGAAUUCCUGGUGUAGCGGUGAAAUGCGCAGAUAUCAGGAGGAACACCGGUGGCGAAGGCGGUUCUCUGGGCAUUACCUGACGCUGAGGAGCGAAAGUGUGGGGAGCGAACAGGAUUAGAUACCCUGGUAGUCCACACCGUAAACCGUUGGGCGCUAGGUGUGGGGCUCAUUCCACGAGUUCCGUGCCGCAGCUAACGCAUUAAGCGCCCCGCCUGGGGAGUACGGCCGCAAGGCAAAACUUAAGGAAUUGACGG
rnacentral:rRNA from 1 species